AAUAUAAAAAUGAAGAUAAAAGAUAAAGACGGAAGAUGACAAGAAGAUAAAGAUAAAAGGAAACACAAAAACGUGUUUGGCCACAUAAAGCUAAAAGUAGAUAUGUAAAAGUCUUGAAAUAAAUAGUAGUAGUCACAUAACUUAGUCUACAUAUGCAUGUGCAUUAUUAAAGAUAUGUUGACAAAUGUAAAGUAUGAUAGGUAGGGUGUAUUAUUAAAAAGACAAGUGUAAAAGUAGCACGGUAGGAAUAGUUGUAAAGUAAGUGUAGAGUAUAGUAAGUGCAGUAAAAUGCACUAAUUCCUUUCUAUAUAAAGGAAGGAAUAUGUCAUAAAGGGGGGCAAGUCCUGAAAUAUAAAAUUUUCUUUUAAAAACACUCUCUCAACUAAAAAAUUAGUAUUUAGAUAAAUGGAGCAACAAUCUGAAAUUCAAUUAGACAUUUCAGAUAGCAUGAAUACGCAAGAAACAAAGAAUAUUGGAAGCUUUUUUUUUCCCUCGUAAGCAUCACGUGUGGUUUAAACAUCAUUACUUCACUCAUCGUACAAGCAUCACUUGAAGUGUAAAAUAUUAAAUCUUUUAUUGUUAUCAUUAUGGAUUAAGUUAAGCAACCCAGAUCAUUGUAUGAACAUGUUUCUCAUCAAAGUACUUACCAACACUUCUAAGUUGAGGCACCAUUUUAGUCGUCACUCGUAUUUUUUGUUUGAUACAGUGAUUAUCUCAAUUCUUCAAUGUGCAAAUUAAAUUGUAAACUAUUUUCGGUGAGUUUGUACUAUAUUAUCAUACUUCUCUCAUUAUUGUGUAUACAUUGCACGAGUAGUAACAUAUUGCCUACAUUUUAGAUGAAAGCACCAACAACAAAAUCUACAGAAAUAGUACUACAUUCUUCUUACUUUUUUCAAUAUAAAUAUUGUCCACAUUCAAGAUCUCUCAUACGUUAGGCAGUGGUACCCUCCUCUGGGUGUCACAUCCCAAGAUUGAUACUCUUCAGAGCGUUUUACUUUUUCAAUAUAAAUCAUAUUUUAUGACUUCAUA